UGUGCGCAUGUCUGUGUGCGUUUUUGUGUGUGUAUGCGCACAGGCACACAUCGCCGUGUCUCCUCAGCAAAAAUGAAUUGAGACUUUACAAGAAGAAAGCAAUUAGGCCGGGGCUUUGCCCUAUCAUUCACUGGCUAAUGUAUCAGAGGCAGAGUGAAUAUUAUUAACACGCAGGGAGGUGUAAGGCUCUGUGGGUUUUUACAGCCAGAAGUACUCAUGUGCAGACUAUUAAUUCACUGAUAGUUUCAUUGGCAACCAGUGAGCUUCAACCCAGUUGACUUUGUGGCAGAGGCGGGUAUACCCUGGACUGGUGACCAGCCAAUCGCAAGACACAACAAACUACACAUUCACUUCUCAUCGGACAGUUUCAAUUCAUCGAACAUGCACGUUCCUGGAAUGUGGGAGGAUGCUGAAGUCUCCAUGUGCCCUCCCAUUUAUGAGGGCACAUCCGUAUGGUUUGCCUCCCCGGGCGCUACGGAAGCCUCCAGUUACCACGGAGACCCCGCAACACUCGGAGGUCAGCAGAAUCCCAGGAUCCGCUAAAGUAAUCCAAUCGUGGCCUCCCUAAAUCACAUAUGCAAAAAUAAAAAGAAUUAAUUUUCUGCUGAUGACCGGCUAUGCAAAUGAUGACUCAAUUAUGGUGGGCUGGUGCGUUUGCAAUUAAAAACCUCGGAAUCAUCAUUAACUAAUAUGUUUAGGAGGAAACUUGUCAGGCUAACCAUGUUCACCAUGCCAUCGCUAAUGCAUUGAUGAAUUUGAUUCAUUAGAGAGAGAAGGGGCAAGGGAUACAGACUUGUUCUUAACUUGAGGAAUUGCGUAGUCCCUGCAACUCCUUUUCCAUUUUGUCAGCCUGAUUCAGCAGAUGAUAGCUCCUCUUCAAAAGCCUAGAAAAUACCACGACGAAUGUUCAUAAUAAAUAGAUUUCUUUGUUGGUGCUCCAUUUAAUUGCAUUAGUAUAGCACUGUGUAUCUAUCGCAAGCCACCAUACUUAAAAAACUAUUAUAAUAAUUAUAAUAAUAAACAAUAAUGUAUGUAGCACCCUUAGUAGAAAUAAAUAUCACAUGACUCUGUUUUGUAUUUAUUUGUUUUAUGAAUGUUUGUUUUUUUAAAUUAUGCUUUGGGCUCCACAAUCCUGAUUUGAACUUUU